rnacentral:rRNA from 1 species
GACGAACGCUGGCGGCGUGCUUAACACAUGCAAGUCGAACGGAAAGGCCCUGCUUUUGUGGGGUGCUCGAGUGGCGAACGGGUGAGAAACACGUGAGUAACCUGCCCUUGACUUUGGGAUAAUUUCAGGAAACUGGGGCUAAUACCGGAUAGGAGCUCCUGCUGCAUGGUGGGGGUGGGAAAGUUUCGGCGGUUGGGGAUGGCCUCGCGGCUUAUCAGCUUGUUGGUGGGGUAGUGGCUUACCAAGGCUUUGCCGGGUAGCGGGCCUGAGAGGGUGACCGGCCACAUUGGGACUGAGAUACGACCCGGACUCCUACGGGAGGCAGCAGUGGGGAAUAGUGCACAAUGGGCUGAAGCCUGAUGCAGCACCGCCGCGUGCGGGAUGACGGCCUUCGGUUUAUAAUCCGCUUUCGCCUGUGACGAAGCGUGAGUGACGGUAAUGGGUAAAGAAGCACCGGCUAACUACGUG